GUUCUUCUUACUCUCAAAAUCUCUGUUUUUCUCUUUCUUUAAAAAUCUCUGUUUUUUUUUUCUUUCUUUAAAAAUCUCUGUUUAGAAUCUUCUGACCUGUUGUUCUCUACUUCUACAACUCAAGUUUAUAUCUGAACUUCUCAUCCCCCAAGCGAGAGCGGCUAGCAAUAGAGUCAUAAGAGACAUCACCCCUACUUUUUUAAGAUGUUGAUGAUGAACACAAAUUCAAAAGGAGUGUGUAACGAAAAGGCCAAAAUGGAGUUAUAUAUGAUCUCACUCACAUUCAUAUCCUUUGAGAAAGUGCAGACUAAAUGUCAAAGAAAGGGAGUGCUUGUGGGUGUGAAGAAUGCUUGUAAGAUAUAAAUGAUGAUAACUUGAUAAGAUGUAUGUGUUAUGAUGUGUAGAGUGCAUGUGUGAUGAUGUGUAGAGUAUGUCAGCUCGUAAAAGAUGUAUAGGUAUGGUGUGUGACGUAUGCUUGUAUAUAUGAGAUAAAAAUGUGUAGGAUGCCCAGCCGUGGUGGUAAAGGAGAACGGUUGGAAGGAACUAACGUAGGUUCGAUGUGUGGGAAGUCUGUCAAUGGGUCGGUUUAUCUGGUAGUUAGAAAUGCAGGCGACUUAACCCCUAACAUUAGUCGGAAAGCAUUUCAAGCAUUUCAAACUCGGGAUAAAUAGUGUGGUGGCCCUUCGGAGAGUAGUUCACUCUGAAGCAUUUCGGUGCGUUUAAAUUAGAUGUGGACGUGGAUGUAUGCUUUGUUUAAAGAUAUUACAGAAUGUGGAUGUUUGUGUAGGGUGAAUGUGUAGGAUAUGAUGUUUGUUUAAAUUAGAUGAAUGUUUAGGAUGUGUAUAAGGUGAAUGGAGGAUGCAAAUGCAGAUGAAUGUGUAUUAUUUUUUCGGAAGAAUGUUUA